AUCACUUCUCAGCCUUUUGGCUAAGAUCGAGUGUAGUAUAUGUUAUUAGAUUAACAUCUGAAACGUCCUCUAUCUGAGGACAAUUAUUUUACAUGGAUUUCCGGAACUAGGAGAUGGAACAGAAGUUUGCUCCAUCCAUUCCACACAUCAACCUGCUAUUACAGUUACUUCCAGGAUAAGUGCUCCAAAA
rnacentral:snRNA from 1 species